UACGGAGGGUGCAAACGUUGCUCGGAAUUAUUGGGCGUAAAGCGCACGUAGGCGGUUUGUUAAGUCGGAUGUGAAAUCCCUCGGCUCAACUGAGGAAGUGCAUCCGAAACUGGCAGGCUUGAGUACUAAAGAGGGUCGCGGAAUUCCCGGUGUAGAGGUGAAAUUCGUAGAUAUCGGGAGGAACACCGGUGGCGAAGGCGGCGACCUGGGUAGAUACUGACGCUGAGGUGCGAAAGCGUGGGGAGCAAACAGG
rnacentral:rRNA from 1 species